UACAGAGGGUGCAAGCGUUAAUCGGAAUUACUGGGCGUAAAGCGUGCGUAGUCGGUUAUCUAAGUCGGGUGUGAAAUCCCCGGGCUCAACCUGGGAAUUGCAUUCGAUACUGGAUAGCUAGAGUUCGGCAGAGGGAAGCGGAAUUUCGGGUGUAGCGGUGAAAUGCGUAGAUAUCGAGAGGAACACCUGCGGCGAAGGCGGGUUGCUGGGCCGACACUGACGCUGAUGCGCGAAAGCCAGGGGAGCGAACGGG
rnacentral:rRNA from 1 species